rnacentral:tRNA from 1 species
UCCUGCUUAGCUCAGUCGGUAGAGCGGGUGGCUGUUAACCACUAGGUCGGCGGUUCAAGUCCGUCAGCAGGAGCCA